GAGCUAGCUACAUCCUGACCUGGAGUCAGA
rnacentral:piRNA from 1 species